AAUCGUCUAAGCGAUUUCAAAAAAGGUAAUUAGGCUUAGAGCGUCCCCGAUAAUAUCGGGGGGUUUAC
rnacentral:ribozyme from 1 species